rnacentral:rRNA from 1 species
UCCUGCACCCGUAAUGAACAGUACUGUAGUGACACGGAAGGUAAGACAGAGCCGGGAAUGAGAAAACCGGUGCAAGCACAAUAGAUGUGCGGGAGGAAAAACCCCCGUAUAAGUCGAAGGUGUGAUGCGGACCGAAAAAGAGUAGGGAAGCUGUUAAGCAAGCCGUCAAGAAAAGCUGCUAUUGUUUCAUUAUGGCCCGUACCGUAAACCGACACAGGUGGAUGAGGAGAGAAUCCUAAGGCCGGCGGAAGAAGUAUUGUUAAGGAACUCGGCAAAAUGACCCCGUAACUUCGGGAGAGGGGGUGCCUGCGAGAGCAGGCCGCAGAGAAGAGGCCCAAGCAACUGUUUAGCAAAAACACAGGUCUAUGCAAAACCGAAAGGUGAGGUAUAUGGGCUGACGCCUGCCCGGUGCUGGAAGGUUAAGGGGAGUGGUCAGGAAACGAAGCCACGAACUUAAGCCCCAGUAAACGGCGGCCGUAACUAUAACGGUCCUAAGGUGGCGAAAUUCCUUGUCGGGUAAGUUCCGACCCGCACGAAAGGCGUAAUGAUUUGGGCGCUGUCUCGACAAUACAUCCGGUGAAAUUGAAGUGCCAGUGAAGAUGCUGGCUACCUGCGCCAGGACGGAAAGACCCCAUGGAGCUUUACUCCAGCUUGAUACUGGGACCCGGUAUUGCAUGUACAGGAUAGGUGGGAGGCUAGGAAAUGUGGACGCCAGUCUGCAUGGAGCCGCUGUUGGGAUACCACCCUUGUGGUGCUGGGUUUCUAACCAGAGGCCGUGAACCGGUCUGGGGACAAUGUCAGGUGGGGAGUUUGACUGGGGCGGUCGCCUCCGAAAGGGUAUCGGAGGCGCCCAAAGGUUCCCUCAGAAUGGUUGGAAACCAUUCGAAGAGUGCAAAGGCAGAAGGGAGCUUGACUGUGACACCGACGGGUGGAGCAGGUACGAAAGUAGGGCUUAGUGAUCCGGUGGAAUUUAAGUGGGAAUGCCAUCGCUCAACGGAUAAAAGCUACCCUGGGAUAACAGGCUGAUCACUCCCAAGAGUUCACAUCGACGGAGUGGUUUGGCACCUCGAUGUCGGCUCAUCGCAUCCUGGGGCUGAAGUCGGUCCCAAGGGUUGGGCUGUUCGCCCAUUAAAGCGGUACGCGAGCUGGGUUCAGAACGUCGUGAGACAGUUCGGUCCCUAUCCGGCGUGGGCGUAGGAUAUCUGAGAGGAGCUGUCCUUAGUACGAGAGGACCGGGAUGGACUGACCUCUGGUGUACCGGUUGGCGAUCAACGCCACGGCCGGGUAGCCAUGUCGGGACGGGAUAAACGCUGAAGGCAUCUAAGCGUGAAGCCCCCCUCAAGAUGAGAUAUCCCAUCGUAAGAGUAAGACCCCUUGAAGACGACGAGGUUGAUAGGGCAGGGGUGGAAGUGCUGUAAGGCAUGGAGCUGACUGCUACUAAUCGGUCGAGGGCUUGUAA